GGAAAGGUAUUUGUCAGCAGUGCAUAAGGUUACCAACUGGAUGGGGGGGAGGAGAGAGUGUCCUGUCCCUUUAAUUGCAGAUUAAUGAGUGGAAACGGGCAGCUGAAGCUUUUCAUGGAAUGAGGUUAAAUAACAUCACCUGACAAUUGCUUGUAUACACACCAUCCAGAAUGCUUCAGUCAUUCCGGAGUCAGGCCCUCCCCUGGGAAUCUCAAGAAUGAGCCGGGAGCAUGAGCUCCAAAAGGCAGACUCUCCAUUUGAUGAAACAUUUCCAUCACCCACCUUGGAUUCUUUUCGCUCUUUGCAAUCCAUUCUGGGUGUCUGGAAGGCUCCGGAUUUUGCACAUCUCCCCUCACUCCAAAGAAGUAAGGAAAAGGACUUACUCCCAUAUCAUUGCAACAAGAAGCAAUGAAAAUUAAGACAGGACAACUGAGACUGGAAUUCUGAUAGGAAUGCUGUUGCUCAGCAUGCUUGACUGUCCACCUGUUGAAAGCCACUGAUGCUUGACAAAGGCACAGACAUCUGACAUGGUAAUCCUGGACCUACUUUUCCUACUACUUAGAAGACCAACAGAGAGGUUGAGAAUCAAGGCAUGUUGUGGUCUUGCUAAAGGCCAGACAAAUUCCCCUGCCUGAUAACCCACAAAACCCUGGAAUCAGCUCUGGGUUUGACACAGUAACAAACACAGCAGUUACUCAUUUGUGCUGUGGGUACCAACUUUUAGAUUGGCCUCUGCUCUUCUGCCGCUUAAUAACUGCUUGUCCUGCAGACAUUUGCAGGUGAAAAUGGAUUUCUCAGGCCUUGAAAAGCGUCGCUAGCUGAUCUUGGCUGGUAUUAAAGGCACCCAGAGCAAUGCCACUUUGUAAUUUUUAAAAUGUAUUUAUUAUUAUUUAAAACCAAAUGGCAGCUCCUAAGACAGCCUAUUAUAGCAAGACUCCUGCAGUAAAAGUCUGUUUAAAAAUAUGCCACAAUAAAUUGUAGUUUUUGCUC